AUGAACGCUGGCGGCGUGCUUAACACAUGCAAGUCGAACGGAAAGGCCCAAGCUUGCUUGGGUACUCGAGUGGCGAACGGGUGAGUAACACGUGGGUGAUCUGCCCUGCACUUCGGGAUAAGCCUGGGAAACUGGGUCUAAUACCGGAUAGGACGAUGGUUUGGAUGCCAUUGUGGAAAGUUUUUUCGGUGUGGGAUGAGCUCGCGGCCUAUCAGCUUGUUGGUGGGGUAAUGGCCUACCAAGGCGUCGACGGGUAGCCGGCCUGAGAGGGUGUACGGCCACAUUGGGACUGAGAUACGGCCCAGACUCCUACGGGAGGCAGCAGUGGGGAAUACUGCACAAUGGGCGCAAGCCUGAUGCAGCGACGCCGCGUGGGGGAUGACGGCCUUCGGGCUGUAAACUCCUUUCGCUAGGGACGAAGCGUUUUUGUGACGGUACCUGGAGAAGAAGCACCGGCUAACUACGUG
rnacentral:rRNA from 1 species